ensembl:snRNA U4atac minor spliceosomal RNA
AUCAUCCUUUUCUUGAGGUUGCACUACUGUCCAAUGAGCUCCUAGUGAGGGCAGUACUGCUAAUGCCUUAACAAGAAACACUCAGAGACGAUAGAUAUUUUACCUUGAAAAGAUCUUGGAGUUUGCUUGGAAGU